rnacentral:lncRNA from 1 species
GGCGCCGCGGCGCCCGGGUGUGGAUCCCUAGAUGGGAGCCGGGGAUGGGCCGGGUGCCUGGUGGGUGGCAGUCGGGGCUGACGGCGGCGGCACUUUGCCGCCUCAGGCCCUGGACACCUUCACCCCGCCGCCUGCCCAGGCGGGCCGGCCCUGCCCGUCCACCGGCCGCCGAGAGUCCCCGGCCUUGGGUCCCCGGGGCCGCUGACUGGCCUCGGUCACCUCCCGGGGAAGGCUCCCGCGCCUCCAUCUGCCCCCGCAGGAAGGGACCCUCUUCUCGCCCGCGAGGCUUCUCCGGGUGGGAUCGUCCUGGCCCCCAGCCCUAAGGGAUCCGCCCCCUCCGAGCAUCCGCCGCCCCUCGGAGACCACUCCAGCUCGGACGGACCCACUCCAGCCCCCGCUGCACGCGGAAGCGCUCAUCCUCCCCGCCUGCCCCGUUCCCUCCCCCUUCUCCUGUGGGACAACCAGGGACCGCAGCUCCCCGCUCCCCAGGUGUGGGGGCUCCGACACGAACGCCUCUGCUCGCAGGGCGGUGAGCGCAGAUCCCACGGGUCCCUCGGUCGGGGGUCGAGGCUGCUUCCGUUUCCAUCCCGGACCCGACAAUGGGCGGGAAAAAGAAGGCUUUACACGACUACGCGGCGGAGUUCACCGACCUGGUGGUGAAGCACCUGAUUGAGCACAGUGACUCUGGGGACACGUCUGUGGUGGAGACCCUUUACUGCAGGGCCUGCGAGCUGCCCGUGCGCGUGCGGAGGGACCGCAUCCUGGAACACCUGUCCUCGGGCAGGCAGCACGGCCUGCGGACGCCCAUUCUCAUGUAAAUGUCAGUGCCAACGCUGGUGUUUCAGGAGUCAUCCCAGCGGGCUGCGGGCUAUUUUAGGAUUCUCUGCCCUGCAAACGUUUCCAAAGUACGUGGACAGGCCGCCUGAUGACACUACGUUUACGGGAUCUGCUAGUGGCUUGCCUACUUAGGGAGUAAACCCUGUGAAGUCUCGCAGUUUUGUUAAAGUGUGCGUGGCCACCUGAAUGCUGCCUUAUCACAAGCCAGAUACAUACUGGUCUGUAGGGUAACUCCCCACUGUUGAUCCUCUGAGAUGAUUGUGGACUGGGUGCUGUGAGUCCUGCCACUUUGUUUAAGUGAAUGUGUCUUUUGUCCAGCUCAGCCGCCUCGGAUCUCGCUGCCACCAGCCUUACUGCACACCCGUGCCACCCGCCCUUGCCCCGUCAGCCUCAGCCUCAGCUCAUUCUCUCAGGCAGUCCCAGCAUUGGCACGGUACCUCCUCCCGCUGUGGGCCACACGUCUCUGCUCCCUGUCAACCCUCCUGCCAUCAGCACCACCACCAGCGACUUGUCUGCCCGGGAGGAUGCAACACCAUCUGCCUCCACCGGCCACCUUUCAGUGUUUCCUGCUUUCCAAGUAAAGAUACCAGCAGUGCCCUCAGAGCAGACCAGCCAGAGUUUUUCUGAAGCCUCCCACAGGGUGCUCCCCGGAGGAGGCCCGAGAUGCUCUCGUGACUUUGGAGCCGGGGUGGCUGGCCACCUUGGCCUGGGCAUCUUUGGGGUGGGCUUCGGGAGCCCGGCACUGCUGCAGAGUGUGGUGGAUGAGAACAGCUGCUGCUUGCUGUACGUGGUGGAGGACCAGCUGUGUGAUGUGGAGCAAGCCUUCAGAGCUGAGCAUUUGGGCCAACACCAGAGUGGUUCGGGAACAGGAUGCAGACAUUGUCCUCAACGACCAGCGGCACUUUGAUCCGGUUUUCCAGUUCUUGCACAAGCAAGUUUGUGUCAGCCACGCCCUGGGGAGGAUCCACUGGAUCACCGCCGUCACUGCCUGUUCCCGGCGGCCUCUCCGGCUUCCCUAAAGAGAGCAGCUUCCCUCGAGACCAGAAGCCAGAGCUCACCCUCCCUUGUGUCCAGGUGGGACUUUCUACAACGCUGCUGUGCACGACGUGGAUGCCGUAUGCAUGUUGCUGGGGGAAGCCACUCCGGACACUGUGUUUUCUCUGGGACAUGUCUUCUGCCCAGAUAUGGCCGCCUUAAAAGAUGCAGAUGCUGUUGUGAUCAGCAUGAAGUUUCCCUGUGAGGCCGUGGUUAGCGUGGACAUCAGCCAGCACUGCACAGACAGCUGCGACCAGGACGUCAGCCAGCACUGCACAGACAGCUGCGACCAGAGACUGGAGGUGACCCUUGCCCUUUUCCACCCUUCGCCAGUCCACUGUGAAAAGCUGGGUUGAUUGUGCGGGUUAGAUAGAGGUCAUCAGCCGGGUUGAUUGUGUGGGUUAGACAGAGGUCAUCAGCCAGGUUGAUUGUGUGGGUUAGAUAGAGAUCAUCAGCCUGGUAGAUUGUGUGGGUUAGAUAGAGGUCAUCAGCCAGGUUGAUUGUGCGGGUUAGAUAGAGAUCAUCAGCCGGGUUGAUUCUACAGGUUAGAUAGAGGUCAUCAGCCGGGUUGAUUCUACAGGUUAGAUAGAGGUCAUCAGCUGGGUUGAUUGUGCGGGUUAGAGAUCAUCAGCCGGGUUGAUUGUGCGGGUUAGAUAGAGGUCAUCAGCCGGGUUGAUUGUGCGGGUUAGAUAGAGAUCAUCAGCUGGGUUGAUUCUGCAGGUUAGAUAGAGGUCAUCAGCUGGGUUGACUAUGUGGGUUAGAUAGAGGUCGUCAGCCGGGUUGAUUGUGUGGGUUAGACAGAGGUCAUCAGCUGGGUUGAUUCUGCGGGUUAGAUAGAGGUCAUCAGCUGGGUUGAUUGUGUGGGUUAGAUAGAGAUCAUCAGCUGGGUUGAUUGUGUGGGUUAGAUAGAGGUCAUCAGCUGGGUUGAUUGUGUGGGUUAGAUAGAGGUCAUCAGCUGGGUUGAUUGUGUGGGUUAGAUAGAGGUCAUCAGCUGGGUUGAUUGUGUGGGUUAGAUAGAGGUCAUCAGCUGGGUUGAUUGUAUGGGUUAGAUAGAGGUCAUCAGCUGGGUUGAUUGUACGGGUUAGAUAGAGGUCGUCAGCCGGGUUGAUUCCGCAGGUUAGAUAGAGGUCGUUAGCUGGGUGUGUGGGUCCCAAGGCGUGCUGCAGAUGGAGAAUCAGAAUUCCUUGGGCAUCACCGGGCGGGGCAUGUCCCUGUCCCUUCGCUCCCAGACCCAGGCUAGCCGCUACCAGGACUCCUAUCGAGAGCUCUUCAGACACUUUGUCAGAACCCUUAAAGGUGGGUGACGUUUUCAGGAGGAACCUGGGAUGUCCUGAUGCUCAAUGGGUAGAUGCCUUCCAGGCUGCAGUCAGUGCAGAUGAUAUGCCAAUUUCAGGUGGAAAAUUGCAUUCCAGAUACCGGGUUCAGAUUUGAAAUUGUCCAUCUCAGUGAUCAUUUACGUUGCGUGUACUUGAGGGAGAUUCUGAGAGAUGCUCCUUUGGGGUUCUGUGCGUGUACCAUGUUGCCUGACACGUCCUGAGAAAUCUUCUUAAACUCUGAGUUUAUAAAAUAACUACUUCUGAACUCCUGAGAUCUAGUGGAUACCAUGUAUCCUGGAAGAUAGGACACUUUCUACCCUCUGUCAGUCCUGGGGGUGACUGGGAACCAGAGAGGUUGAGCAGAAUUCCUGGACCUGGGUGGGGCUUGUCCAAGAGGGGCAGGUGGGCCUCUCUAGGAUCAGUGUCCCACCCAGAGGCCAGUGGCCCCUUCACAUGCCCCAACAAGAGGAAGACUGUCUGGCUCCGCAGUGUUGGGUUUUGUCCUGAAUCUGUGCAAAUGUGCAGGGAAAUAACCUCCUGAAAUCACCAAAGAGCAGUUCCUCAGGGCCUUCCGGGUGACCGUGGCCGUGGAGCAGUCGUGGUGAAACCGGUCAGCUGUGGACCUGCCCUGCGAAUCGGCAGAGGCCUCCGUGGUGAAGACAGAAGCUCCGUGAACCAACUCGAGGCUGGAGCCAAGAUCCUGCCUGAUAUCCAGUUGCCUGUUUCACUUGUUACUGUUACUGGGAGAGGGAGACAAAACCUCAUGGCAAUCUUGUCCUCACUGGAGACUCAGAAGGGGAAGCAUUGGGAAACCAUGUAUGUUUCAUUUCUGGUUUAACCAGGCUUUUCAGGAUGGGACUUCAGACCAAGGACACAAGUUGGGCUUGCUUAGGUGUUUUGUGUUGUGCGCAGGCCUCAGAGAUGCUCUUCCGGUCAGAGUUCCCUUGGCAGGGCCUUGGAGGCCUCUGGUUGGCUCUCUCAGGAAGAGGGCAGGUCAGGGAUUGGGCGGUGUAAAUUGACUCAGAAACCUGCGGUUUCAGCUUUUCUGUGGCAAACAGGGCCGAGGGCUGGUGAAGCUGUUAAGGCUAAAUGUCGCAUGCAUGAGGCGGGCUGCAGGCCUCCUUAGGCCUUUUUUGGGGUAAUUACACCAGUAUUUAAAAACAUUUUUUUUUGUUUGUUUUGAGAUGGAGUCUUGCCCUGUCACCCAGGCUGGAGUGCAAUGGUGCGAUCUCGGCUCACUGCAACCUCCGUCUCCCAGGUUCAAGCGAUUCUUCUGCCUCAGCCUUCUGAGUAGCUGGGAUUACACGCGUGUGCCACCACGCUCGGCUAAUUUUUGUAUUUUUAGUAGAGAUGGGAUUUCACCAUGUUGGCCAGGCUGGUCUCGAACUACUGACCUCGUGAUCCACCUGCCAUGGCCUCCCAAAGUGCUGGGAUUACAGGCGUGAGCCACCAUGCUCGGCCUAAAAAACAAUUUUCUUGAAGAAUCCGAUUUUGUGCAUAGUAAUGACACAGCACCAUUCCUGAGAAAUAGGAAAUAUAUGUGUGUGGUAUGAAAAGCCCAUAUUCUGUUCUUGUCACCUGAAUCUAGGCUUCCUCUUUGGAUGUGAACGCGGGAAUGAACAGUGGCUGUUUUCCACCCAAAGGGGCGUGGAGACCUUUUGGAAACGGGCUUUCUCCUUUCCAUUUUGCAGCCGGGGGCGGGUGGAAACCUUCCUUCGAAGGGUAGUGCCUUGGGGAGCAGCAGACCUGCUCUGAGUCCAGCUUAGCUUUCCAAAAUUCUGUGUGGAACUUACUGGAGAUGUUUUUAUAUAUUUGAAAAUAAUGGCCUGUAUUUCUCACGCUAUACUUAAAAAAAAUAACUAACCUUUUAAACAAAGAUAUUCAAACUCACCCUUGUGCUGAAAGCACUCACAUUUCUGUGUUCAUUCCUGAAAGGGCGUUUUAGAGUCCCCGUUUCUACGUUCUAUGUGGCACCCUCUUGCCGAGGGAACAUCCAGAAUCCCUCCACUUCCUGUCUAGUUUGAGGCCUCAACACCUUCAUGAUCCAGAGUCCUGCGGCUAUGAGGGGGUGGGCCCACCACCGCCCAGCCCUCCUUGGUGGACGUGGGGACAGGUUUUGCUGAGAAACGGGAGUGCGUUCUGUGUCGGUGUUUGUGACGCCCUGAGACCCUGCUUGGCCUAGCUAAAGUCCAGAA